UCACUUUGAGCGAGCUCUGUCUGUGAGGAUACAGAGUGGGCAGAGGAGAGCCACAGAAGAGGAGGCCACUGUCUCUCCCGCUUUAUCCAUUAACCAGUGUCGAGGCAGCAAAUUAAGCUGUUCAGGAAGAUUCUAGGUCAGCAGGGAGGGAGAAGGCGAAGGAGGAGAGAUAAAGUAAAGAACAAACAAAAGCUUUUAUAGGAAAAGGCAGGAGCCACUCAGGCUUUAGUGGGAAAAUCCAAAGUGAGACAGCAGCAUGGCGGUGAGAGGAUAUAAGGGAUUUUUUUGGAAAGUACCAAAGGAAUUCAAAAGGAAAUGGCCAAGGGAUGUCAUCAACAAGACUGAAUCUGAAGCUGUGAAGAAGGCACUGCAACAAACUCUGUGUCAAAGACUUGAAAAAACCACAGAGGAGGAAACUUAGCCUUUCAGACUAACACAGAAACCCCUGUCUGCAGAGAGAUUGCCGUCAACAAGAGAAAUGGAGAAGUGUCCAUUCUUAGAAAGAUAAAAGGAUGUCACUGCCAGUUUUGUUGUUGCUAUCACUCUUGUCUGUCCAAUGUGAUGGAUGUGACCGUGACUGGGAAGGUGUGAAAAACAUAAAAAUGGCCAUCGACUCUAAUCCAACUGGGUUUCGAACAGGUUUUUCCAAAGAUUAUAAGGUAGAGCACCCUACACCAAAGCUUGCUCUGCGACACUGACCGUGCUGUGUGUUCCCUGCUGCGGUUGUCCUACUGGAUUCUUGGGAUGUGCUGCGCAGAAACCUCUGGGACGAGCACUUAAAUCACUCCUUAAUCAUCGAUCUGCAACAGACACUGGAUAAAAUUAUAAGAAAGAACAUAAAUACACAGACAUUUCAGGAGGAUACAGACUUGGCCCAGCUCUCUACAAACUCUUCCCUUCCAGAGGAUCUCCUUAAGCUCACAUCAGAGCUUUUCACUCGGUGGCUCCACGUCGGGUGUCUACCUUCAAUUGAAACCUGCACCCUCCCCGCUUUGCCCCCUAUGAUUGAGAGGAAGGACUACGGUCCAUCGCGAGCCAGACUCUUAACCACCCGAGCUAUCAGCAGCUAUGAGGAGGAACAGCAUGACAAGCAGACAGACAAUACACAGCUGCUGUCCAGCGGCAGUCCACUGUCCAUAUCACACUUUGCUUCUAUCUGGAGCCCCCUGCUAUUCAGACUCUACUGGUGGCUGCUGCUGCCAUAAACAGAUGUUUUUGAAGAUGCACACAAAAUGCAAGACAUUUUCUGGCACUGAAUGAUUGUUUCUUAUACGUGAGUGUGUAUGUGUGUUUGUGUUGUUAUACAGUAAGCUUUGUUAAUAUGAAGUGACAUGCACAGGUUGCAUUUAAUGUCCAAAGUUAGUUCACUGUCCAACAGUGCUCCAUAACAGCUGAAAUCACAGAUAUAUAUAUGCAUAGCCAUCUUCUCUAGAACAAGCCACAAGCUCCAGCUAGUAAUGCUCAUCAUGCUAACAAGAGAUAAAUGCUGAGCAAGCCAAUGCACAUAAGCCAUCGUCUAUUUAAUGUGGACUUUAUCACUGUUUACAAUGAAUGUUAUAUAAAUGUAAGAUAUUAUAGUCUAUGGAUGUUUACUACUUUUAUAAUUGUAAAUUAAAGUCAUUUAGAUAUAUUUUGUCUAAUUUUUGUGAGGGAUUUAAUUGUCCAAAAACAGGAAGCUGCAUUGUUUUCUGUUUAUUGCUGUCUGUCAUUAUAUUCCACAACCAGGAUUCAUGUGUUUUGUCCUUUCUGCAAUAACAGAUUAUAUUUUGUUCAUGAUCCAGCAUUCCAGCAUCUUGGCAUUUGUAUAAGGCAUUACAUUAAAAGAGUCACUCCCACAGUGUAAAUCUAUUACAGCUAUUUUAUAACACUGAUAAUACAGUCAGAUGAAACACAGAAGAGAGAGGAAUAUACGCAGGUCUCCAGGAAUCAGCUAUUAGUAUCUGUACAGCCGUGAUCAUAUCUACAUAAGAAAUGAACUGCACCAUGUGGUGCUUGCACUUGCCCCUGCAUGUACACACCCACGCAUGUUAUGUGCACCAUUGUCCUGUCCUCACAAGGCCUUCCUUAGAGUUUCAUACACACUAAAAAAGAAGGAAUGUUGCAUUUCCCAUGAGAACGAGACUUUUGGACUUCAGCAGAAGUUGUAAUUGAGCUAUUUUACUCUGAAAUUAUGUCACAUAUUGGAAAUGCAUGUCAAAUGCUGUAUGAAUGCAAAUUGCUGAGAGUUAGAUUAUUGUUUUUGGAGGAAAGAAAAAAAUGAAGCAUGAGGGUAAA